rnacentral:lncRNA from 1 species
GACAAACACCAUAUAGCCAUUAGUUAUUUUUAUGAUAUCUUGUCUGAGAAGGAAAACCUGCACAUGUCUGUAGAUCGGAGAAUAGUUUUAAGAGCUACUGUACUGCCUCACACCACCCCACCCCAAACAGCUGCUUAUUAUUCCUCUCUCUGGGUACAAUUUAAGACUGAUACUGGAGUCCCUGUUUAAUUAUUCAAUUGAUAAUAGAAAUAAAUAUUUGAUUGUAACAUCUUCCAAAAAUCUAAUUUUAACCUGUAAUGUCACUACUUAUGUUGAUAACUUUGAAUAAAUUGCCAUGAUACAAAGUUAUUUUUCUUGUUUAUCAAUCUUUUAAAAUUUUAUUAAUAGCAUUGAAUUAUUGUUUAGUUGAGGUGGACAGUUUGUAUGCCCAGUUUUAAGUGUGAAGUAAAGCAAUUGUAAGAGAAAAAUGAAAAAAGCUUUUUUUUUUUUUUCAUUUUUCCUUUUCAGGGCCACACCUGCAGCAUAUGGAAGUUGCCAGGGUAAGGGUCAAAUUGGAGCUGUAGCAACUGGCCUACACCACAGCCACAGCAAUGCCAGAUCCAAGCUGCAGUUUGCAGCCAUGCUGGAGCCUUAACCCACUGAGCAAGGCCAGGGAUUAAAGAACUGAAUCCUCAAAGACACUAUGUCAGGUUUUUAACCUGCUGAGCCACAAUGGGAAAUCCAAAAAAACACCUUUCUACCCAUACAGUUGUGGCUACUAGAUAAUGCCUACAGUGUUAGUAAAAGUAGUGUGGGAAAAAAACAAGCUUUUUCAAAAUAGUUACCAAACAGACAACUUAUUUUGUAGCGGUUAGACUAAAGGGGCAAUUUCCAGAUCUCCAUUUUUGUUGCUUAUCUUAGGAAGUUAAUGCCUGUGUCUCUUGAUGUUUGGGGGCUUUUAUCUCUCCUUGUCUGCACGGUCAGAUUCUUAUAUUUGCAUAACUGUGUUUGACUGGGCUUUCUGCCUCCAUAUUCACAGAGGGGCUAGAACCCAAUGAGGCUGGCAUCAGAUUAUGGGAAUUUUCUACUAUCAGAAUAAAAAUUCCUGAUUACUGAAAACUCCUAAUGAACUUUAAGGAAUUAACAGUACAGCAUUUCUCCUGAACUACCAAGUCUUUUAGUCCUGUUUUACCGAUUUAUUUGUAUGUAGAGUUGCUAUCUACCAGCCUGUGUGUAUCAAUAUCAGGAGAAUUGAAAAACACAUUCAAUGAAAAGGUGAGUUGUAAGGCUGUGUGCACAGUAUGAUGCCAUUUAAAUAAAUUUUUUUUAAAUUGAAGUAUUAUGUUCAUUUUCCAUAAAUUCAUAUAUUUAGAACUAUUAGGAUUAUUCUAUGAUAUUACAUAUUAUAUAAUAUAUAUAGAUAUAGACACUCUAUAAUAUAUAUUUUAUUAGGCUAUAAUUAUUCUAUUAUAUCUAUAUAUUGUAUAUUCUAUAUAUAUUCUAUUACUAUUCUAAUUAUAAUUCUGUAUAUUAGAAUAUAAUUCGAUAUAAUAUUCAUAUAUUAGAAAAACAUAUAGACCAAACUCAAGGUUCGCUUCUAGUGAGGAUAAAGGAGAUCAAAAUCAUGACGCUGAGUCAAGGUGACCUUGAGCAUCCCUGUAAUAUUCUAAUUUUUAUGGCAAUGAAUUCAUCUAUGUGUUGGCUGCACCCACGGCAUAGGAAAGUUCUCAGGCUAGGGGUGGAAUUUGUCUCAGCCACAGCAAUACCAGAUCUGAGCCAUGUUUACAACCUACACUGCUGGAUGCUUAACCCACAAUUGAGGCCAGGGAUCGAACCCACAUCCCCAGGAAUACCAGUUGGGUUCGUUACUCCUGAGCCACAAUGAGAACUCCUUUUUUUUUUUUUUUCAUUUUGUUAGAAUAUAGUUGACUUACAUUGGUGUGUUACUUUCAGGUGUACAGCAAAGUGUUCCUCUCUGUUCUUUUUAUCACUUUUUAAAAUUUCAAAGCAAGGAUGCACACACACACACCCCAUGUCUCACAAGAAAAAAGACAAAGAUCAAGAUGAGGUUGGGAAAUUUUCCAACUUGAGAAUCCCACUUCCUGAAAGUGGAGGCUGGAAACUUGCUUUCCUAGCCUCCCUUGCAGUAGCUUCUAAGUGUUUUUCCUGAGGUUGUGGAUGUCGUGCCCAAUGCUAUGGUCCGGCUGGAGAUUCUGCCAGCUACCUAAUAAAGAUGUUUCAGACAUUUGGCAUCAUUUAGAAAAAACUCAUAAAUAUCUUAUAGCCUAUUUUCAUUAACCUUAAUGAGGUAUAAUUUUCAUCAAAUAAAAUUCUUCCAUUUGUAGGGGACCAUGCUGAGCUUCAGCCAGUAUACACAGUCAUGUAAUCACCACACAACCUAGAUACAGGUCAUUUCCAGCAUCCCCAAAACUUCCCUUAGGCCUCUUUUAGUUAACCCUAUGCUCCAGGCCACCAGUGGUCUGUUUUCUGUCAUCCUAGAUUACUUUUGCUAAAGUAGACAUUUCAUUCUAAAAUAUCAUAUAAAUGGGAUCAGAUAGAAGGUACCCUUCACAUCUGAUUUCUUUCAUCUUCUUACUGUUUCCAAACAAUGUUUACUGAUGAAAACAAUUACAACUCAUCUCAAUUAUUUUCCCUCAUGGAAAAAAGCAUACGUGUGUAUUCAAAUGAACAACAAAAGCAGAAAUGACGAACAUUUGGAGUUAUUAUGUUGGAGUGUGCGAUGUGUCACGUUCCAGAAAUUCACUGUUUUAAGUUAAUAGCGUAGUUGAGAAGAAUUCUUGCCAUCCUCUUCUAUCAUGUUCUCUUUUGAGGAGGUGUAAAAUAUGGAACUGCUUAUUAGAAAAUGCACCUCCAUUUUCUACAUAUUGAAAAAAAAAUGCAUCAUCUUGGGUUUCCUUCAGUGAUCUAAUGCAUUAGAUUCUCUGAGGACUGAAAAUAUAAAUUUGCUUUUUUUACUUAUAUUCUUGGCGAUUCUUAUCACACUUGUGCUCUAAUUUUUUUGUAUUUGUGAUUUAUACCUUGAUAUUCUAAAAGAAUUCAAAACACUAGGUUAUUUAAAAAUUUAGAAAGAAUACUGUCUUCCACUCCUAGAGAAGAGAAAGAAGAUAUAAAAGAACAAGUAUCCAUUUGAUUUUGUGAAGGUUUUUAGAAGAAAAAAAAAAAAUGAAAUGCUUAAGACCAUUCUGGCAAAGUGGGAUUUUGGGGGCAAAAAAGUAACAAUAAAAACCAGGCAUCAUAUUAUCUCUCUUCUUUGGCUCAAACCACUUAACUGGUUGGUAGCCAAGUCUAUUAUCACUUCAGAUUCUGCAGACUGAUUAUUUCUUUAUCCAGUGAUAAAAUUUCUAACACACUUCACCAUGACAGGAUCCCAUGAAAACAAACAAACAAAAAUCCAGUUUCCAAAUGGUAUUUUGCAACAAGAUCUAAUGAAACCAAUCACUGGAGAUGCAUUGGAGAGGAAGGUGAGAAUAUAUUCUUGGGUGGAGAUAUUAGGCUGUAAGCUAGAAAUAAUGUAUUAAAGCAUUCCACAUGGUUGAAGUUCCCAUUGUGGCCCAGCAGUAAUGAACCGGACUAAUAUCCAUGAGGACACAGGUUCAGUCCUGGCCUCACUCAGUGGAUUAAGGAUCUGGUGUUGCUGUGAGCUGUGGUGUAGGUCACAGACACAGCUAGGAUCUGGUGUUGCUGUGGCUGUGGUGUAGGCCAGCGGCCACAGCUCCAAUUCCACCCCUAGCAUGGAAAUUUCCAUGUGCCUCCGGUGCAGCCCUAAAAAG